rnacentral:rRNA from 1 species
AUGUCCGUCGCCGCAGCCGACUGGCUCCCGUCCGCGACCGUCACGGCGUCCGGCCGGCCGGUGCUGUCCGCCGGCGAGAUCGAGCGGCACCUGCUUCCGCUCGUCGACCUCGAGCCCGAGGAGAACCCCCGCCUCGCGCCCCUCCGCGGCUGCCUCCUCGCGCUCACCUCCCACCGGCUCAUCUUCCUCCACGAGGCCUCCCUCUCCGCGCGCGCCCUCCCGCUCGCGUCCAUCGUCCACCCGUACCCUCCCCACCGCAGGCACAACCAUAACCCACUCCGCUCCCUCUUCUCCUCGUCGUCCUCCUCCUCGUCGCAUCACCCGCGCAUCCGCAUCCAGAUCUCCCUGCCCCCGUCGCGGUCGGAGGUCGUCGCCGUCGUCGUCACCUGCAAGGCGGACGUGGAUGUGUUCUACGGGCGGCUGCUCGAGGCCAUCCGCGCGAGGGCCUGGGAGGCGACCGCCGCGGCUGCUCCGGCCAGUGGCGCCCCGGUGGCUGAGGGAGCCGCCCCAGCCGAGGAGGAUCUGGCGAUCAGGAUGCCCGUGGUUGGAGUGGCGGGGAUACUGCGGAAGGAGCAGGAGACGUGGGAGAGUGCGGGGCAGAACUUGCAGGAUGCCUUCCAGGAUCUCAACGCACUCAUGAGCAAAGCCAAGGAAAUGAUGGAAUUGGCAGAGAAGAUGAGGCAAAAGCUAUUGACGAACUCAUCUGCUCAAUCGAAUUCCAAUGACGAAGAGAUGGGUUCUAAGCAAGACAUGCAGGAUUUGCUAUUGAGCGUAGGCAUCGUGUCUCCUGUGACAAAGGAAACUGCUGGUGCUUUGUACCAUCAGCAGCUUUCACGACAGCUGGCUGACUUUGUAAGAGUACCAGUUGAGAGAGCAGGUGGUAUGAUGGCACUAGUCGAUGUCUACUGUCUCUUCAACCGUGCUAGGGGAACAGAGUUGAUCUCACCAGAGGAUCUUUUGCAAGCUUGCUCCCUUUGGGAGAAAUUUGAUGUCCCAGUGAUGCUCCGGAAAUUUGACAGUGGAGUGAAGGUGAUCCAGACCAAGACGCAUAGUGAUGAUGAGGUAUUUGCAAGAAUCUCAUCACUCGCACAAAAGCCGGAUGCUCUUCUCAAAGGAAUAAGCCCCAGCGACGCUGCAUUCACGCUGGGGAUUGCACCAGCUUUAGCAAAGGAGCAUCUUCUAAAUGCAGAAAACAAAGGUCUACUCUGCAGGGAUGUCAGUCCAGAUGGGUUCCGUUUCUACAUCAAUUUGUUUAACGAGAUUGAUCUCCAGAAUAUUCAUUUGCCAAAAACUCAUGGACUAUACCACACUUGGAUAUCUGUGGCAACGGCAGCACAUUGA